GGCCGGGUCCCGUCGUCGGUCGGCCCGUGAACCUGGUCAGGGCUUGACCGCAGCAGCCAUAAAUGGCGUCGGCCGAGCGCCGGUCAGCCUGGUCGUC
rnacentral:SRP_RNA from 1 species